UCCCUGGAGGACUAGUGGUUAAGCCUCGCCGCUCUCACUCCCGCGGCCUGGGUUCGAUUUCCCGGCCAGGGAA